AGGAAAAUAAGCUAAACCCAAAGCUAUUGAACUCAUAAUUCAAUAAUAGACUAUAAAAAUCUUUUUCCUA
rnacentral:tRNA from 1 species